rnacentral:misc_RNA from 1 species
UCGAAUGACGCCGCCCGAGCUGUGCGAUCUCGCACGCGAGGGCGUGUUCAUCAUCCUCACACCUGUGCACCCUCAGGCCAUUCAUUGGCCUGCCUUUUUCAUACCAACUCGUCUGCGAAUGUACAACCUGUAUAUGUAUAUUAUACAAUCA